GGAUGCCAUUCGGAACGGGGUCAGGAACCGGAAGUGAGGCCGGAGGCGGAACCAGGUGCGCGCCGCUGCGUGUGGUGACGGGAACAGGACGGGACUAAGCACAUGGACUGGAAAUUGGAAGGGAAUACUCAGAAAACAGAGUCACCUGUGCUGCAGGGGCACGAAGGCAUCUUAGAAGACACAGGUGCAAAUGGAAUCUCUGAAAGCUUCCAGCUUCUGCAGAUUGAUGUGGAAUGUGAGUGCCAGGAGGGAGAGACCCUACCCACAGGCAAUGCAGCAUGGUGCUCGAAAAAUGUCUGGAGAAAACAGAGACACUGGGAAAAGAUAAUUGCAGCAAAGAAGAGCAAAAGAAAGCAAGAAAAAGAAAGAAGAAAAGCCAAUCGUGCAGAAAAUCCAGGCAUCUGCCCUCAGCACAGCAAACGUUUUCUGAGAGCUUUAACCAAAGAGAAACUUUUGGAAGCCAAACACUCAGGACCAAGACUAUGUAUUGAUUUGAGUAUGACCCACCACAUGUCAAAGAAGGAAUUAAGUAGACUGGCUGGACAGAUCCGAAGGUUGUAUGGGUCUAACAAAAAAGCUGACAGGCCAUUUUGGAUCUGUCUCACUGGAUUCACAACAGACAGUCCCCUGUAUGAAGAAUGUUUAAGGAUGAAUGAUGGAUUUUCUGGUUACCUGCUAGACAUAACAGAAGAAGACUGCUUUAGUUUAUUUCCUCUGGAAACCCUUGUUUACCUGACUCCAGACUCAGAACACGCUCUUGAAGAUGUUGAUCUAAACAAAGUUUACAUCCUUGGUGGGCUUGUGGAUGAAAGUAUUCAGAAGGUAAGUAUACAUUUCAGCCCCUACAUCUAUAUUUUGAAAAGUAGUGCUUAUUUUUAGAGGCCCUUUUGCUGUCAUACUCUCGUCCAGAAGGCCUAGGAACUCAGAAGGAACAGGAAGAAAGAGCCUAUUUCCCCCAGGCUGGCCCUGCCACCUGUGACACCUCCUCUCUCUUCAGCAGUGUCAGUGGUCCUGAGCCUGAAUGAAGAGUCAGGAAUUAGAAUGAGUACCGUUUGCUAAUUAUAUAAAUAGUUGAGCUUCUUUCUCCUCUCCUUACUUCUGCAAGGAUAACUCUGAUCUUGACCAAGUAAGCAUUGGCUCAGCAUGCUUACCAGCUGUUUGUUCUUUGAGAGAAAAUAGUUUGCUACUUCUUUGGCCUACCUCCCUGCUGAUAUAUUCUUAUCCUGAAACCUCAAACUCAGAGGAUUGUCCAAAUUUCUUUUGUUGGAGUUUUACUGGAAUAAUUGGGGUGUCACUGGAUUUUUGAAAUGUUUCUAUUACAUAAAUAUUUGUUGAGAUAUUUGUUUAUAUAUACUAAUUAACAUACAUUGCAUAGAUAAUCAGUUAACUAAUGAUAUAAUAGUUAAAUGUACAAAAAAGAGUACAGUGAAAAAUAAGUCUCCUUCCCACCUUUGACCCCUAGUCCUCCUCACCUGAGGCAACCACUGUCAGGUUUUCUUGUAUACCCUUCUUAAUGUAUUAUGUGAUCACAUAUGUCUUUGUGGGUAUAUUUUACAUAUAUGUGGGCGUGUUUUAUAUAUUUUUUUCAUAUAUGUAUAUAUAAAACAUUGGUGUUCCAUGACUCCAUAGUGAUAAUCGAAAAAAUGAGGAGUCUCUUACAGAAGAAUGAUAGCCAAUAAAUGAGGAAUGCAUAAUAGAAUUAGAAAAUCAUCAUUUGUCACUCCCAGUGUCAUUAUUGAUUCAGACAACUGAUUGUGAAUGAAAGGUUGUGGAAGAACUGGCUAUUUACAUGGUCUCAAGGUAUCACCCUACAAAGACAAAAAUUAACAUUACAGUGAAACAAUCUGGUGGUCACCAUCUUAUCCAAACUUGAUCAAAUUUAGCAUCACCAAUAGAGACACAAUCUGUGCCUCCUGCUGUGAUCUUGUCUAUGAAGUAUUCUUGCUACACAGUGUUUAAACUGAAUUUAAUCAUGAGGAAACAGACAAAUCCAGAAUAUGGGACAUUCUGCAAGACAAUUGGACUGGAUUUUCAGAAAAGUCAAUGCAAUGGAAACUAAAACAGGCAGGGGACUGUUUUAGACUAAAGGAGGCUAAAAAUAAUAGCCAAAUGCAGUAUGUGAGCCUUAAUUGCAUUCUGUAUUGAGAGGGAAACUUUAUAAAAGAUAUUUUUGGAAAAGUUGAGGAGAUUUUAACACAGACUUGUGUACUAAGUGAAAUUAUGGAAUCACUAAAUAAGUUUCUUAGAAAUGCUAUUGUAGUAAGGUAGAAGAAUGUCAUUGUUCUUAGCUGCAUGCAUAAGUAUUUAGUGAUGAAGUAUUGUGAUGUUUCAAAUAGUUCAGCAAAAUAUGCAUUUAUAUACAGAGAAAGAAAAGCAGAUUUGAUAAAAUGUUAAUAACUGGUGAGUCUAGAUGACGGCAAUGGGUAUUGAUUAUAUUAUUCUUUCAACUUUUCUCAGGUUUGAAAUAUUUCAAAAUAAAAAGUUUGGGAGGGGGGAGUUAGCCUUAUUGCAGAGUACAGUAUCAGCACUUAACCUGUGUGUUAUCACCCUUCUCCUGUAGUGGGGUGAUGGCCCCUUUUUCGAGGUGGUGAAGUUCAGAGAGUCAGUGAGCAGUGUAUGAUUUAUAGAUGUACAAUUUUAACACAUUGUGUUCUUUUCUCUCUCCACCAAUAUUUAAACUGAAAAAUAACUGGUACAAAGUUUGUCAGAUACAUAGAACUUUUUGGUUGUUAUUGGAGAAUUUGGUUUUUUCACAGGAAUAAGCUAAGAACAACAUUUCUUCAAAGAGAGUUAUUUUAUCUUUAAAUGUGCAGAGAACAGAAACUAGACCGUAAGUGCCUCCAGAAGGUGACAUUUCAAAAGGCCCAGGAAUACUCUGUCAAGACAGCCCGCUUGCCAAUCCAGGAAUACAUGGUCAGAUGCCAAAAUGGG